UACGAAGGGGGCUAGCGUUGCUCGGAAUGACUGGGCGUAAAGGGCGCGUGAGGCGGUGCAUUUGGUCAGGCGUGAAAUUCCUGGGCUUAACCUGGGGACUGCGCUUGAGACGGGUGUGCUGGAGGGCAGGAGAGACUCGCGGAAUUCCCAGUGUAGAGGUAGAAAUUCGUAGAUAUUGGGAAGAACACCGGUGGCGAAGGCGGCGAGCUGGCCUGUACCUGACGCUGAGGCGCGA
rnacentral:rRNA from 1 species